AUUCUCAUUUCAAAGGAAAAUCCAAAAAACCUCCUUUUAUUCCUAAUUUUGUGAAUAUUUUAUUACACCUUCAGUCGGAAAGUUUAGAAAGCGAGACGACGUCGUAGCCGCCCAUCGGAUUUCUGCUGCUUCUUCGCUCCGUGCUCGCCUUUUUACUCCCCAGUCUCCACUUUCUCUAGCAGAUUUUGUUUCUCAGAUCCACUGAAUCGCUAACAGGGGCAGCAUAGGCAGCAAGCUGUGUGUGACUACUCAAAAAGAGGAAAUCGGACAGGAAAGGCAAACAAGUGUGAAACAAACUAAGUGGUAACAACUAGCAACUUUGAUGUAUUAGGCGCAUAUUACAAUAUAUGAUUGUCACUUUUGUUGUUAAACGUGUGCUCAGAAUCUGGGAUGUACAAUAAUACAUUGUCACACCUCCAUGGAAUUGAGAAUGCUUCUUGAUCAUUAGGUUGUAUGGUCCACUUGAUUAACUUAAAAUUUUUCUUUUCCACUUUCCUGUCAUUCUGUCCCACCAGAAAAAGGAUGUUUGCUUACUUCAAGUUUCUAUUUCCUACAAUUUUGCUUCAUUCUUCAUCCGUGUCUUCCACAAUUGUACCUUAACACAUCAAGCCUUUGAUAACCACUAGAUACAAUCUUCUAUUGCUCUUUAGAUGUAUGGACAGUACACGUCUCUUUCAAGUUUUUAAGGAAACUUCAUAUAUUUGCUUUUUCUUGUUUCUAUGUUCUCUCUUUAGGGGAUGGCCCUAAUUUUUACUGGACAUGUGUUGCAAAAAUUAAAUUUUGUUUAAGCGUUGCAAUUACGAAUUCAAGUAAGUUUCAGAGAUACUGCAAUUGCUUGAAACUUAAGCAUGCCAGCGCCAAAGAAAAACUUUUCAAGAAAUAUAGCAACAUAUUGAGAGACCCAUGAUUGAAUUAAAACUUCUAGCACCACCACAGGAAUCAUAAUGAAGUUUAAUUUCCAGAACCUAGCAGGUUCUAUAGUCUUAGUUAAGUUUUAGAUUUAUUUUAGUAUUACGAGCAGUGUUGGAGGGAGUUCAAAGUCAAAUGUUUGUAAUUUCAAGUACGCAUGUCAAUUUGUAAACUAUAAUCAGCCAUUGUUUUAAAAUUCAAGAAUUGUUGCUAUUCUAUUAAA